rnacentral:lncRNA from 1 species
AGGAAGGAGAGUUCGAGACGAUGGGAACAGGAGCCCGCUGGGCUGUCAGCAUCUGGAGCGUCUGGAAAAUGUGCUUUAUAAAGGGCCCUGCGGCUGCAAAGGCGGAUUUCUCUGGCUCCGUCUGAAGUACAUCGUUGUAUAUCUUAGUUGCAGGUCCUUCUAGCUGUGGCAUGUGGGACGCCGCCUGAAUGUGGCCUGAUGAGCGGUGCCAUGUCCACACCCAAGAUCCGAACGAGUGAAACCCUGGGCCGCUGCAGCGGAGCGCAUGAAUUUAACUGCUUGGGCACGGGGCCGGCCACCGUUCUUUUCCUUAUUUAACAAAAAAGCUGUCCCUAGAGCGCUGGUGUCCUUGGUUGGAAGGAGGAAGAUGAGGCGUGAACUCAGCUGGUUGGGCCAGGACCCCUUUCUCAGGCUCCGCCAGCCCCUGAAGCAUCUCCCAGGCUCCUGGGGAGGCAUCUGACCUGGGGUAGCGGACACAGCGGGACCCUGGGGGGAGCCUGGGUCAGAUCCUGGCUCCGACACUGCAGGAUCAAGGGGUUGACCCCCAGGCUCCCCCCAUUAGUAAGAGAUGGACAUUAACGCCCCCACUGACAGGG